UCUCCUGGAAACGGGUGGUAAUGCCGGAUGCUCCAUCACACCGCAUGGUGUGUUGGGAAAGCCUUUGCGGCAUGGGAUGGGGUCGCGUCCUAUCAGCUUGAUGGCGGGGUAACGGCCCACCAUGGCUUCGACGGGUAGCCGGCCUGAGAGGGCGACCGGCCACAUUGGGACUGAGAUACGGCCCAGACUCCUACGGGAGGCAGCAGUGGGGAAUAUUGCACAAUGGGCGCAAGCCUGAUGCAGCGACGCCGCGUGAGGGAUGGAGGCCUUCGGGUUGUAAACCUCUUUUGUUAGGGAGCAAGGCAUUUUGUGUUGAGUGUACCUUUCGAAUAAGCACCGGCUAACUACGUGCCAGCAGCCGCGGUAAUACGUAGGGUGCAAGCGUUAUCCGGAAUUAUUGGGCGUAAAGGGCUCGUAGGCGGUUCGUCGCGUCCGGUGUGAAAGUCCAUCGCUUAACGGUGGAUUCGCGCCGGGUACGGGCGGGCUUGAGUGCGGUAGGGGAGACUGGAAUUCCCGGUGUAACGGUGGAAUGUGUAGAUA
rnacentral:rRNA from 1 species